rnacentral:rRNA from 1 species
UCGAACGCGAAAGCCCCGCAAGGGGUAAGUAGAGUGGCAAACGGGUGAGUAACACGUGGGUGACCUGCCUUCGAGUGGGGGAUAACGUCCCGAAAGGGACGCUAAUACCGCAUGACAUCCUGCGUUUGGAAACGCGGAGAUCAAAGCCGGGGAUCGCAAGACCUGGCGCUUGAAGAGGGGCCCGCGCCUGAUUAGCUAGUUGGUGGGGUAACGGCCUACCAAGGCAACGAUCAGUAUCCGGCCUGAGAGGGCGGACGGACACACUGGGACUGAGACACGGCCCAGACUCCUACGGGAGGCAGCAGUGGGGAAUUGUUCGCAAUGGGCGCAAGCCUGACGACGCAACGCCGCGUGGAGGACGAAGAUCUUCGGGUCGUAAACUCCUGUCGAGCGGGAAGAACGCUUCCCGGGUGAAUAAUCCGGGGAGGUGACGGUACCGCUAAAGGAAGCCCCGGCUAACUCCGUGCCAGCAGCCGCGGUAAUACGGGGGGGGCAAGCGUUGUUCGGAAUUACUGGGCGUAAAGGGCUCGUAGGCGGCCAACUAAGUCGGAUGUGAAAUCCCCAGGCUCAACUUGGGAACUGCAUCCGAUACUGGAUGGCUUGAAUCCGGGAGAGGGAUGCAGAAUUCCAGGUGUAGCGGCGAAAUGCGUAGAUAUCUGGAGGAAUACCGGUGGCGAAGGCGGCAUCCUGGACCGGCAUUGACGCUGAUGAGCGAAAGCUAGGGGAGCAAACGGGAUUAGAUACCCCGGUAGUCCUAGCC